rnacentral:misc_RNA from 1 species
UCCGUGUUAACCACGGCAGUCUCUUUAGAGUGCCCAACUUAAUGAUGGCAACUAAAGACAAGGGUUGCGCUCGUUGCGGGACUUAACCCAACAUGUCACCACACGAGCUGACGACAGCCAUGCAGCACCUGUCUCUCGGCUGUAUUGCUACAGAGACUCUAUCUCUAGAGCUGUCCGAGGAUGUCAAACCCAGGUAAGGUUCUUCGCGUUGCUUCGAAUUAAACCACAUGAUCCACCGCUUGUGCGGGCCCCCGUCAAUUCCUUUGAGUUUUAACCUUGCGGCCGUACUCCCCAGGCGGGGUACUUAGCGCGUUAGCUCCGAUUCGGCGGGGGUCAAGACCCACCAAAUCUAGUACCCAUCGUUUACGGCGUGGACUAC